UAUUAUUAAUUCCAACACAUGGCAGAAGGGCAGGAGCUGGACUCCCAGAGAGGGAGUCUGAGAGGCAUUGAAGUGAGAGGAAUGUAAAGGCAGGCCCAAGGGAGUCAGGAGUGGGCUUUUGUUUAUACUUUUAAGCUGGGAUUUUGUUAGCGGAUUCCAGGGGCAGGUCUUCAUAGUCCCAGCCCUGAGAGAAGAGAGAGUUUAAAGAGGCUGUGAGGGGAAGGACUGAGUAGGAAGAAAUCCAGGGAAGCAGCAGCAAGGAGUUGGACUGAGCAUUACUUCACUGCUGGUUAUAGGGUCACUGGGCUGAAACCUGGUUGUAGUGAGAGGGCCCAGGUUUCCCUACCAGCAGUGGUAUGGUGGUAUGAGGCUGGAGAAGGGAACAAGGAUGACAGCCCUCAGAAAAGGGAGUCAGGACCAUGGACCCCAGAGGCAUGGCCAAAGAUCUGAUAGAAGGUAUUAGACAUUGUUUCAUUGGAAUUCUUGUUGCCCUGAAAAAAGCGGAUUAAAUUGUGACCUGGCCAGAGUGCCAACUCAUAAGAAGGUGGACCACUGGAAGUCCAGAGCAGCCAUCAGAAUGGGGUGCUCCUGGAAGGGGAGAGAGUUCCUACACCACCUCUGGCCAUCAGGAGGCACUGCAGCAAUUAGGGACGAUUGUAAGGAACUCCAAAGGGACCUACUAAAUCAGGUGAAUGGGCGGCAUGAUGGCAGAUGUAAUUCAGUAUUGACAAAUGGAAGAUGAGCUGUAAGAUGAGCUGUUUCCCUAAUUGCAAUACAUUGACUCUACCAUUCGGAGGAGCCUGUGCCACAGAAUGAUAAACUGAAGUUAUCAGGCAAAGCGUAGUCUUCACUUGUGAAACAGUCGGAACACAACCCAGAGGUCCCUGGUCAGUUCAGGUUAUGGCAAACUGCAGGCUGUACUUGGUGGAGACCCCACUGCUACCUUGCACACUACUGUGGAUGUCUCCAAGGAGCCCAAGCCACAGGUCCCUGCCAUGAACUGGAAGGAGGAGGAGCAGGAGAGAGGUGACAUUCAGGGGAGUCCACCUAUGCCAGGACCUGUCUGAGACUCCUGCAUGGUCUAGCCAGUCCUGCCAGCUGAGCAUGGACUAGCCUGUUGAAGGGGAAGGGACCUCAGCUGCUGCCACUGCAGCCUUGAGGGGGUUCCCCUUCUACACCUGUGGAACACCUGAGCCAGAUAAGGAGGAGAAAGAAGAGGACUUGGAAAGGCCUGUUCAGUGAGAUCCUCUGCUGCUUCAGACUGUGAAGAAAGGGCCUGGAGGGUGAACAUUGCAGACAGCCUGAGGGAGGAAGAUGUGGACAGGUGAAAGGUUCAGGAGUCUCAGUAGAAAAGGGAGAUGCACCAGGACAUAAUGGGCCUUUUCUGGCAGCAAACAUAAAUUCUGCAGUCUCUUGUGGACCUACAGGGUCACCUCCCUUUGCAGUCCAUGGAGAACUCAUUAUAGCACCUCCUUGCACCCUCAUCUCAACAUUGCACGUUGAAUCAGUGGCUGCAUCCCUACACCUGCCACUCCAUCUCUCAGGACAUUAAGGACAACCACAGCUUCACAUAC